GGCUAGGAUAGCUCAACUGGUAGAAUAUGAGACUCUUAAACACAGGGCUGUGGGUACAAACCCCACGUUGGGUA